UGGGAAACUUUUCCUCCUCCUUCAAAAGGAGCGGGCUGUGGGGGGAAGGACUCGCUCCUUCCCGUCUUUGGGAGUUGAGGUGUGAGGUUGUGGUGCUUUGAGCAGGGCAGCUGUGCUGCCGGCAGGAUGGGAAAGCCGGGAGAACCGCCGAGAAACUCGCUGGGUCUGUCACAUCAUGGAGUUGCCGAUGGGGAAGCUGAGUUCAUAGACACAGGUAUGAGAAGAUCUUGAUCAUCUGACUUCCAGGUGGCAGAAAACCUACCCAACUGGCUUGAUGAAAAGGGGGACUUGUUGGCUUAG